rnacentral:rRNA from 1 species
UAUUGCGCAAUGGGGGAAACCCUGACGCAGCAACGCCGCGUGGAGGAUGAAGGCCUUCGGGUCGUAAACUCCUGUCAGGUGGGAAGAAUGGGCUGCGGCAAACAACCGCAGUCGUUGACGGUACCACCAGAGGAAGCCCCGGCUAACUCCGUGCCAGCAGCCGCGGUAAUACGGAGGGGGCAAGCGUUAUUCGGAAUCAUUGGGCGUAAAGGGCGCGUAGGCGGCCUGGCAAGUCAAAGGUGAAAUCCCUCGGCCCAACCGAGGAACUGCCUUUGAAACUGCUUGGCUCGAGGCCGGGAGAGGGUAGCGGAAUUCCCAGUGUAGCGGUGAAAUGCGUAGAUAUUGGGAGGAACACCAGUGGCGAAGGCGGCUACCUGGACCGGUUCUGACGCUGAGGCGCGAAAGCGUGGGGAGCAAAC